UGGGCAGAAGCGCCAGAGGGCGAGGUCCCCAGGGCGGGUGGCAGAGGAGGGCUUCGUGGAGGUGGUGGGACUUACGGAGUCUCGGGAAGGAUGGGCGGGGUGUGGAGAAACGAAGCGGGAGCUGCAGAGCGGCGCUCUGAGCACCUGCUCCGAUGGGAGAGUCGGAGGGGGAGUCGGAGCCAGCCUGGGGAGGGCACGAUGCGCAUCGUCCCCCAACAGAGAGGCCCGGGCCUCGAAUGACACAGCUCUUUGGCUUUCACUGCCCCGCGGGAUCCUGGGGCACGGGAACUACCAGCAGGCCAGGCUGGGAAAGGGUCACUUGGUAAUCAUUGUCAGACCAUUCCUCCCUGCUGGUAAUUUUCUCUCAGCAGCCCUGUCAGCGAUCUGGCUUCCCCUGAAUACUCCAGUUUUACACACAGUUCUGUAAAAGUCUGAACCCCAGCUGUGGGCAGGGAGCUGGGCCCCAGACAGUUUCCUAGGUAAAGUCUUGUUGAGUUUUCCUGAACUUGAUGACAGUUACAGAGGUGUUCUCCAACCCAGGAGCCACCGACGUUUGUGAGCGAGAGCAGACACUGGCCCACAGAUGGUUUUGUUUGGGCAGCACAGAGAUUUUAUUAUUGUUGUUUGGGCAGCCAGGGUUUUUUUUUGUUGUUGUUGUUUUAUUUUUUAGCCAGAAUUUAAAUGUCACAAUACAAUCUCUCCUUGUUAAGUAACACCCAGCCACUUCUUCACACACAUUUGUUACCUGCCUGACAUCUGAAGUCAUUUGUGUUUGUGACCCUUAAUCUUCUUUAAAUACACAGAAGACCUCUGGGGAGUUACCUCAUCUGACAGGCUGAGACUUGGGACUUUCCCCACCAUCACAUCCUACUGGACAGAGAAAGGGGCCAAGUCCAAACAGGCAACCAGGUCAGGCAGAGAACCAGGGUGCCAGAUCCAAGGAAAGGAGCUUGAAAGAAAAAUCAAGGCCAAGUGAAUAAGGACUCGGAAAGAUUCGCAGUUUUUCAUGCCAGGAGAACAGUUUGGCUAGCACACUGCUAUUGGCGCAUGGCCACUGCAUACUAAAUGCUUCACCGCUGACAUUGGAUGCCGCUGCAGUAAAUUAUUUCUCAGCUGACCUUUCACUGGAAGGAUCCGCAUGUGCCCCAGCUCCACUUCCAGGGUGUGGGGCCAGAAAGUACCUGACACAUUCAGCUACUGAGAUGAGCAAGGUGAAGUGACCAGCCCAGCGACACACAGCUAGUGGCAACGGCAGCCGCAGACUGCAGGCCUCCUCACCACACUGCCUGCUGGAACACAGGGAGUUUUUGUUACUUUCCCCAUGGAGGAGGUGCUGCUAAAGAGGGCUGCUCCCUUGGAGACCAUGUGGAGCCCUGUAAAGUGGUAAGUAUAUGUAUAUUCAUUCUAAGACUUAAGGGCGUGCUGCCAGAGUUUCGGUGUCCCACUCUGUAGAAGAAGAUUCAUUACUCUUUUAUUGAGAGAAAACUGAUAACAGAAAACCCUCUACACAUUUGUGCUGUUAGAUUAAAGCUGCCUCUUAGCAUCACCCCAGAGUCCUGGGGAUGUCGGUGUGAGCUUGAAGCUUCAUCCAUUUGUCAUUCCUUGCUUCUAGUUGUUCCACAGAUAUUUACUGACUGCCUAUUAGGUGGUAAGUUAAGUGACAUCAUAACAGUAUCAGGAUUGGGGCAACCAGAGGGAGCUGGGAUCUUUUUCUGGGCCUCUGGAGAAGGGACAAGGAGCCACAGGCCCUGAAACUCAGGCCAGGCAGCCGCUACCUAUGGAAAGAGAUUAUCUGUUUUUUUUUUCUUGAUGGAAUAUUAAAAAUUUGGUAUGAAAUGAUAAGUUUAUUGUUCCCUAUUGUUGUUGUUGAGUUGGGACUCAUGGCACCCCCUUGUAUAAUAGAACGAAAUGUUGUCCAGUCUGCACCAUCUUCAGGAUCAUUAGUCUGUUCAAGUCCAUUGUUGUGGCCAUUGUAUAUUUUGAGUGCUUCCCAUUCUAAGGGGCUCAUCUUCCAGCGUUAUAUCAGCAAAUAUUCUGUUCUGAUCUGCGAUAUGAUUAAUUACUUUUGUAUGUGGCCUUUCUAGUCAUGGUCUUGUAAUUCCCACCCAGGUGAUUGUAUGAUAGGGUAAUUGUGGCCUACCCCUGUGUGGAUCAUAGCAAAUUAUGGAUAACAUUGCGAAGAAUGGGAAUUCCAGAACACUUAAUUGUACUCAUGAGGAACCUUUACAUAGAUGUAGAGGCAGUUGUUCGGACAGAACAAGGGCAUACUGACUGGUUUAAAGUCAGGAAAGGUGUGUAUUAUUUCACCAUACCUAUUCAGUCUGUAUGGUGAGCAAAUAAUCCGAGAAGCUGGACUGUAUGAAGAAGAACGGGGCAUCAGGAUUGGAGGAAGACUCAUUAACAACCUGCGUUAUGCAGGUGACACGACCUUGCUUGCUGAAAGUGAAAAGGACUUGAAGCACUUACUAACGAAGAUCAAAGACCACAGCCUUCAGUAUGGAUUGCACCUCAACAUAAAGAAAACAAAAAUCCUCACAACUGGACUAAUGAGCAACAUCAUGAUAAACGGAGAAAAGAUGGAAGUUGUCAAGGAUUUCAUUUUAUUUGGAUCCACAAUCAACAGUCAUGGAAGCAGCAGUCAAGAAAUCAAAAGACACAUUGCAUUGGGUAAAUCUGCUGCAAAGGACCUCUUUAAAGUGUUGAAGAGCAAAGAUGUCACCUUGAAGACUAAGUUGUGCCUGACCCAAGCCAUGGUAUUUUCAAUUGCAUCAUAUGCAUGUGAAAGCUGGACAAUGAAUAAGGAAGACCGAAGAAGAAUUGAUGCCUUUGAAUUGUGGUGUUGGCGAAGAAUAUUGAAUAUACCAUGGACUGCCAAAAGAACAAACAAAUCUGUCUUGGAGGAAGUACAACCAGAAUGCUCCUUAGAAGCAAGGAUGGCGAGACUAUGUCUUACAUACUUUGGACGUCGUGUCAGAAGGGAUCAGUCCCUGGAGAAGGACAUCAUUCUUGGCAGAGUACAGGGUCAGGGGAAAAGGGGAAGACCCUCAACGAGGUGGAUUGACACAGUGGCUGCAACAAUGAGCUCAAGCAUAAUAACGAUUGUAAGGAUACUCAGGACCGGGCAGUGUUUCAUUCUGUUGUGCAUAGGGUCACUAUGAGUUGGAACUGACUUGACGGCACUUAACAACAACACAACAACAAGGGGAUUGGUCAGUUUUGCCUUAAAAGAGAGAGCCAAUUCUAGAACAGAGAGCAGGCGCCUAUCACCACCAAGGAAGGAGAGACCAGCAGGAGAGACCCUGCAGCAGGCAACUGUGUAGUGGGCUUCCCAGGCCACAGAGAGAGAAAGCUGAGUGCCUUUGGGCAGAGACUGAAGGCCAUGGAGAGGUGUGCCUGUGAGCACCGCUGGGGAGAGGUUAUCCUGAUGGAAGAACUGCAUCCUGAGUGUUUUUUUUUUUUUUUUGUACUUUUGAUGAAGGCUUACAGAACAAACUAGUUUCUCAUUAAACAGUUAGUACACAGAUUGUUUUAUGACAUUGUUUAACAACCCCAUGACGUGUCAGCACUCACCCCUCUCAACCUUGGAUUCCCAAUCACCAGCUUUCCUGUCCUCUUCUGCCUUCUAGUCCUUGUCCCUGGGCUGGUGUGCCCCCCAGUCUUGUUUUGUUUUAUGGGCCUGUCCGAUCUUUGGCUGAAGGGUGAACUUCAGGAGUGACUUCAUUACUGAGUUGAAAGGGCUGAGAGUUCUUAAACCUGAAUUGUAACUAUUACUUCCCUAAUAAAUUCCGUAAUCAUGAGUAUGAUUUGUGAAUUGUGUGUGGCCAUUGCAAUGAAUUAUUGAACCCAGUAGAGAGUGCUAUAGGAGGGAGAGUUGGUGUCAGAAUUGGUAAAGAUGGCAGAGAGAGGAGGUGUGUUGGACUUCCACCUCAUAGAAGUCAGCCUUGGGUUGUUGAUCUUGGUUCUCCUUCCCCCUUGUGGGGUUGGAAGAGGUCAGACACCUCCCUCAAGCCAUUUUUACAUGAUUCCUAAGGUUCCCAUUGGCUAAUAUUCGAAAGUAGAUCUCCAAGCCCUUCUUCCUAGUCUGUCUUAGUCUACAAGUUAUCUACCGUGGGAGACCCUGCUGGUAUUUGAAAUACUGGUGGCAUAGCUUCCAGUAUCAUAGCAACAUGCAAGCCACCACAGUAUGACAAACUGACCGACAAGUGCUGGAGUUGCCAUGAGUCAGAAUUGACUCAACCACAAUUGUUUUCUUUGUUCCCUGUUGUUGUGUGCUGUGGAGUUGAUUUCAACUCAUAGUGACCCUACAGGACAGAGUAGAACUGCCCCAUAGGGUUUCCAAGGCUAUAAAUCUUUAUGGAAGCAUAAUGCCACAUCUUUCUCCCAUGGGGCAGCUGGUGGGUUUGAACUGCUGACCUCUUGGUUAGCAGUCGAGUGCUUAACCACUGUGGCACCAGGGCUCCUUUUAUUGUU